GAUUCUGGCUCAGGAUGAACGCUGGCGGCAUGCCUAAUACAUGCAAGUCGAACGGAGUGAAGCCUUCGGGUUUCAUUCAGUGGCGAACGGGUGAGUAAUACGCAGGGAACCUGGCCAUGGCAGGGGGAUACACUCUGGAAACGGAGCAUAAGACCCCAUAGGCAGUAAGGCGGCAUCGCCUUACUGUUAAAGAAAGCUGAAAGGCUUUGGCGAUGGAUGGACCUGCGGUGCAUUAGCUUGUUGGUGAGGCAACGGCUUACCAAGGCGAUGAUGCAUAGCCGGCCUGAGAGGGCGGACGGCCACACUGGGACUGAGACACGGCCCAGACUCCUGCGGGAGGCAGCAGUAGGGAAUUUUCGUCAAUGGGCGCAAGCCUGAACGAGCAAUGCCGCGUGAGUGAGGAAGGUCUUCGGACUGUAAAGCUCUGUUGCCGGGGAAAAAGGGGAAAUGCAGGAAAUGGCAUUUCAUGGAUGGUACCCGGCCAGAAAGCCACGGCUAACUACGUGCCAGCAGCCGCGGUAAUACGUAGGUGGCGAGCGUUAUCCGGAAUGAUUGGGCGUAAAGGGUGCGCAGGCGGUCUGUUAAGUCUGAAGGCAAAGGGAUGAGCUCAACUCAUUUAUGAUUCAGAAACUGGCAGACUUGAGGACAGGAGAGGGCGGUGGAACUCCAUGUGUAGCGGUAAAAUGCGCAGAGAUAUGGAAGAACACCAGUGGCGAAGGCGGCCGCCUGGCCUGUGACUGACGCUGAGGCACGAAAGCGUGGGGAGCAAAUAGGAUUAGAUACCCUAGUAGUCCACGCCGUAAACGAUGAGGAGCAGGUGUUGGGAGUGAAAUCUCAGUGCCGAAGCCAACGCAGUGACUCCUCCGCCUGGGGAGUAUGCACGCAAGUGUGAAACUCAAAGGAAUUGACGGGGGCCCGCACAAGCGGUGGAGUAUGUGGUUUAAUUCGAAGCAACGCGAAGAACCUUACCAGGUUUUGACAUCGGAUGCGAAGGCGCAGAGAUGCGCUGGAGGCUAUCAUCCAGACAGGUGGUGCAUGGUUGUCGUCAGCUCGUGUCGUGAGAUGUUCAGUUAAGUCUGGCAACGAGCGCAACCCCCGUGGUAUGUUACUAACGCUUUAGGGCGAGGACUCAUAUCAGACUGCCGGUGACAAACCGGAGGAAGGCGGGGAUGACGUCAAAUCAUCAUGCCCCUUAUGACCUGGGCUACACACGUACUACAAUGGCGUCUACAGAGGGAAGCGACCCUGAGAAGGGAAGCGAAACCGGAAAAGGGCGUCCCAGUUCGGAUUGAAGUCUGCAACCCGACUUCAUGAAGAUGGAAUCGCUAGUAAUCGCGGAUCAGCAUGCCGCGGUGAAUACGUUCCCGGGCCUUGUACACACCGCCCGUCAAACCAUGGAAGCCGGCAACGCCCGAAGCCGGUGGCAUAACCUUUUAGGAGUGAGCCGUCGAAGGCGGGGCCGAUGACUGGGGUUAAGUCGUAACAAGGU
rnacentral:rRNA from 1 species